rnacentral:tRNA from 1 species
GCUCCGUUAGCUCAGUUGGUAGAGCAUUCGGCUGUUAACCGAAGCGUCGUAGGUUCAAGUCCUACACGGAGCG